rnacentral:rRNA from 1 species
GGCGUUCGAUUAUGGCUCAGAUUGAACGCUGGCGGGAUGUUUUCUUUACACAUGCAAGUCGAACGGCAGCACGGACUUCGGUCUGGUGGCGAGUGGCGAACGGGUGAGUAAUGUAUCGGAACGUGCCUAGUAGCGGGGGAUAACUACGCGAAAGCGUAGCUAAUACCGGGCAUACAACAGCCCUUCGGGGGAAAGCGGGGACCUUUCGGGCCUCGCACUAUUAGAGCGCCGAUAUCGGAUUAGCUAGUUGGUGGGUAACGGCCUUCACCAUAAGACGAUCCGUAGCUGGUUUGAGAGGGGAUACCAGCCACGCUGGGACUGGAGACACGCCCAGACUCCUACGGGAGGCAGCAGUGGGGAAUUUUGGGAUAAUGGGGGGAAACCCUGAUCCAGCCAUCCUGCGUGCGGUGCGAUGAAGGCCUUCGGGUUGUAAAGCACUUUUGGCAGGAAGAAACGGCACGGGAUAAUACCCCGCAGAACUGACGGUACCUGCAGAAUAAGCACCGGCUAAUCACGUGCCAGCAGCCGCGGUAAUGCAUGUAGGGCAGGCAAGCUAAUCGGAAUUACUGGGCGCAGCGUGCGCAGGCGGUUCGGAAAGAAAGAUGUGAAAUCCCAGAGCUUAACUUUCUGGAACUGCAUUUUUUAACUACCGAGCUAGAGUGUGUCAGGAGGGAGGGAAUCUCGCGUGUAGCAGUGAAAUGCGUAGAUAUGCGGAGGAACACCGAUGGCGAAGGCAGCCUCCUGGGAUAACACUGACGCUCAUAUCAACAAAGCGUGGGGAGCAAACAGGAUUAGAUACCCUGGUAGUCCAUACGCCCCAAACGAUGUCAACUAUGCCGUUGUACCGGGCCUUAUGGUAGCGCAGCUAACGCGUAGUUGAUCCGCCUGGGGAGUACGGUCGCAAGAUUAAAAACUCAAAGGAAUUGACGGGGACCUGCACAAGCGGUGGAUGAUGUGGAUUUCACCUGAUGCAACGCGGGAAAAACCUUACCUACCCUUGACAUGUCUGGAAUCCCGAAGCAUUGGGAGUGGCGUCAGGCAAGAGAACCGGUGACAGUGCCGCUGGCUGUCGUCAGCUCGUGUCGAGAUGUUGGGUUAAGUCCCGCAACGAGCGGUCCCGUCAUUAGUUGCCACGAAAGGGCACUCUAAUGAGACUGCCGGUGACAAACCGGAGGAAGGUGGGGAUGACGUCAAGUCCUCAUGGCCCUAUGGGUAGGGUCAUCGUCAUACAAUGGUCGGGACAGAGGGUCGCCAACCCGGGCGAGGGGGAGCCAAUCCCAGAAACCCGAUCAGUCCGACGCAGUCUGCAACUCGACUGCGUGAGUCGGAAUCGCUAGUAAUCGCGGAUCAGCAUGUCGCGGUGAAUACGUUCCCGGGUCUUGUACACACUGCCCGUCACACCACAUGGAGGGGCUUACCAGGGCAGUUAAGGCCCAAUCCGGUGAGGUGAUUACCACGGUAGAUUCAUGCAGAUCAGUGAAGUCGUGGGUA